rnacentral:rRNA from 1 species
AGGACGAACGCUGGCGGCACGCUUAACACAUGCAAGUCGAACGGAGAAAUUGGAUUAUUCAUUUCUAGUGGCGGACGGGUGAGUAACACGUGAGCAACCUGCCUUUGAGAGGGGAAUAGCUUCGGGAAACUGAUGGUAAUACCCUAUAACAUACAGAAACCGCAUGAUUUUUGUAUCAAAGAUUUAUCACUCAAAGAUGGGCUCGCGUCUGAUUAGGUAGUUGGUGAGGUAACGGCUCACCAAGCCGACGAUCAGUAGCCGGACUGAGAGGUUGAACGGCCACAUUGGGACUGAGACACGGCCCAGACUCCUACGGGAGGCAGCAGUGGGGAAUAUUGCACAAUGGGGGGAACCCUGAUGCAGCGAUGCCGCGUGGAGGAAGAGGGUUUUCGGAUUGUAAACUCCUUUUGUAUGGGAAGAUAAUGACUGUACCAUACGAAUAAGCUCCGGCUAACUACGUGCCAGCCGCGGC